UACGUAGGGUGCAAGCGUUAAUCGGAAUUACUGGGCGUAAAGCGUGCGCAGGCGGUUGUGCAAGACAGAUGUGAAAUCCCCGGGCUCAACCUGGGAAUUGCAUUUGUGACUGCACGGCUAGAGUGUGUCAGAGGGGGGGUAGAAUUCCACGUGUAGCAGUGAAAUGCGUAGAGAUGUGGAGGAAUACCGAUGGCGAAGGCAGCCCCCCUGGGAUAACACUGACGCUCAUGCACGAAAGCGUGGGGAGCAAACAGG
rnacentral:rRNA from 1 species